UUUUUCAGAAAACUAUUUUUAGAAAUAGUAACCUCAGAAUAAACACAGCACACCAGAUGCUGGUGUUUUUCUGGGGCAGCUGAGCUGAGGAUCAUUUGUUUAAAGAGAAAGGUGAAACAGCCAACCUUGCAAAGGCAGUGGAUUGCAGAUUGCUGGGUUUUACUCCCCCUAGUGGCGUGAUUUUAGAAGACAUGACUCCCCCUUGACUCAGACCGGUGAACAUCCAACUAUGGAAAGAACCUAGAUGUCCAUCAACAGAUGAAUGGAUCAAGAAGAUGUGGUAUAUAUACACAAUGGAAUACUAUGCAGCCAUCAAAAGAAAUGAAAUCUUGCCAUUUGCGACAACAUGGAUGGAACUAGAGCGUAUCAUGCUUAGCGAAAUAAGUCAAGCGGAGAAAGACAACUAUCAUAUGAUCUCCCUGAUAUGAGGAAGUGGUGAUAAAAAAAUAAAUAAAUAAAUAAUAAAAUGUCUUA